rnacentral:rRNA from 1 species
UUUUAAAUAGCCGCAGAAUUAUUUCUGUGCUAAGGUAGCAUAAUCAAUAGUCUUCUAAUUAAAGAAUAGAAUGAAUGGUCAAACGAAUUUUAAACUUACUUAUUUAUAAAUAAUAAAACUAUUUUAUAAGUAAAAAAACUUAUUUUAAAAAGAAAGACGACAAGACCCUAUCAAACUUUACUAAAGUUAUGCUGGGGAAGUAAAUUAACAAAAUCUUAAUAAUUUUUACAAAAAAUAACCUUAUUGAUUUAUGAACAAGUUACUGUAGGGAUAACAGCAUAAUAAAUUUUUAAAGCUCGUAUUUACAAAUUAGUUUAUGACCUCGAUGUUGAAUUAAUUCCCUAACCAAAGUAAAAAAUUGUUAAGGAAGACUGUUCGUCUAUUAAAAAAUUACAUGAUUUGAGUUCAGACCGGUGCAAGCCAGGUCGGCUUCUAUCUUCUUUUAUAUAAUUUUAGUACGAAAGGACCAAAUUUAAUUUAAUUUUUAAAAAUUGGCAGAUUAAUGCAUUAGAAUUAGAAUCUAAUUAUAGAAAAAAUUAACUUUAUUAAUUCCUUAAUCAUUUUAAUUUCAAUUUUAUUAAGAGUAGCAUUUUAUACAAUACUAGAACGAAAAAUUCUAAGCUAUAUUCAAAAUCGUAAAGGUCCUAACAAAGUAGGAUUCUUAGGAUUACUUCAACCGUUUAGAGAUGCCUUAAAAUUAUUCAAUAAAUCAUACGCAUUUCCCAUUCCCACAAAUUUAAAUUUGGCAUUAAAUUUUCCUGCAAUUAGAUUUUUUUUUGCAAUUAUUUUAUGACCCCUACUCCCUUUGGCAAAUUUUAAUAUCU